GUGAAGAUGGGGUGUUCGUGGUGGUGGGAAUUAAGAGAAUAAGCUAAUGAGAAGAGCAAAGACAUACAGUAAGAAUCCUGUGUCACACAAUGGACAUCCAGAGAAACAGAGAGUAGCGCUGUACUCAGUGCGGCACGGUGGCGCAGCUCUAAAGCACAGGUGGAAAACUCCAGGCCCGGGGGCCAGAUGCGGCCCGCCACGUGAUAUUAUGUGGCCCACGAAAGGCAUGAUUUUUUUCAUGAUUUUUGUUCAAAUCUGUACUAAAUUUCAAACUGUCAUAUCAUAAAUGAUUAUGUUGAGGUAUUGCAUGCAUUUUUCCGUAACCAAACAUCGACAAUAGUUGAAAAACCCAUUAUCCUUCCUUUCUGAUUCCAACACUAGUUGAUAACUUUAAUG